rnacentral:pre_miRNA from 1 species
AAAACUUACUACAAUUCCUUAGUGCUUUUCGUAUGGUUCUUAACUAAAAAUACAUAUUUUUUGGAUAUAAUAAACUUUGAGAAAAUUAUGAAUUUGAGGAAAUCAUGGUAUCUUUAGUUAAGAACCAUACGAAAAGCACCUAAGGAAUUGUACCUAAAUUUU